CAAAGAUUACCACCAGGGGGCAGACUAGGGCAUCCUUGGGAUUCUGUGAUCAGUCAUCCCUCCUCGCUGGUGAAUGGAGGCAGUGGUCACAACUCUCCCCAGAGAAGGUGGUGUGAGGCCAUCACGGAAGAUGCUGCUACUUCUGCUGCUUCUGCUGCUUCUGGGGCCAGGUAUAGGCCUCCUUCUACCUGGGAGCUUGGCAGGCUCCGGGCUUGGUGCUGUCGUCUCUCAACAUCCGAGCAGGGUUAUCUGUAAGAGUGGAACCUCUGUGAAGAUCGAGUGCCGUUGCCUGGACUUUCAGGCCACAACUAUGUUUUGGUAUCGUCAGUUCCCGAAACAGAGCCUCAUGCUGAUGGCAACUUCCAAUGAGGGCUCCAAGGCCACAUACGAGCAAGGCGUCGAGAAGGACAAGUUUCUCAUCAACCAUCCAAACCUGACCUUGUCCACUCUGACAGUGACCAGUGCCCAUCCUGAAGACAGCAGCUUCUACAUCUGCAGUGCUAGAGACACAGCGCCAGGAGGGGAUCAGAGACCGCGGCAAGAACCCCUGCAGCUGCCCUCCGCCCCAGCGGGCCCCCUGAGUGCUGACAGGGGAAGCGUGGAGAAUGGAAAGCCACAGCUUUCCUGA